rnacentral:rRNA from 1 species
AGUGAACGCUGGCGGUAGGCCUAACACAUGCAAGUCGAACGGCAGCACAGUAAGAGCUUGCUCUUACGGGUGGCGAGUGGCGGACGGGUGAGGAAUACAUCGGAAUCUACUUUUUCGUGGGGGAUAACGUAGGGAAACUUACGCUAAUACCGCAUACGACCUACGGGUGAAAGCAGUGGAUCUUCGGACCUUGCCCGAUUGAAUUAGCUGAUGUCGGGUUAGCUAGUUGGCGGGGUAAAGGCCCACCAAGGCGACGAUCCGUAGCUGGUCUGAGAGGAUGAUCAGCCACACUGGAACUGAGACACGGUCCAGACUCCUACGGGAGGCAGCAGUGGGGAAUAUUGGACAAUGGGCGCAAGCCUGAUCCAGCCAUACCGCGUGGGUGAAGAAGGCCUUCGGGUUGUAAAGCCCUUUUGUUGGGAAAGAAAAGCAGCAGGUUAAUACCCCGCUGUUCUGACGGUACCCAAAGAAUAAGCACCGGCUAACUUCGUG